CCGUAGCCGGUUUGGUCAGUCCUCCGGGAAAGUCUGAUAGCUCAACUAUUAGGCUUUCGGGGGAUACUGCCAGACUUGGAACCGGGAGAGGUAAGAGGUACUACAGGGGUAGGAGUGAAAUCUUGUAAUCCCUGUGGGACCACCUGUGGCGAAGGCGUCUUACCAGAACGGGUUCGACGGUGAGGGACGAAAGCUGGGGGCACGAACCGGAUUAGAUACCCGGGUAGUCCCAGCCGUAAACGAUGCUCGCUAGGUGUCAGGCAUGGCGCGACCGUGUCUGGUGCCGCAGGGAAGCCGUGAAGCGAGCCACCUGGGAAGUACGGCCGCAAGGCUGAAACUUAAAGGAAUUGGCGGGGGAGCACAACAACGGGUGGAAGCCUGCGGUUUAAUUGGACUCAACGCCGGACAACUCACCGGGGGCGACAGCAAUAUGUAGGCCAAGCUGAAGACUUUGCCUGAAUCGCUGAGGAGUGGUGCAUGG
rnacentral:rRNA from 1 species